rnacentral:rRNA from 1 species
AUGGUAUGCGAUGAUAUAUUCUUCGAAAUCAAUCUGAAGGUGAAGGAUGUGCAUGGGAGGACUGUUGAUGAUGAUAGACUCAGUAAAGGCCUGAUGGAGGUGGAUGCUAUCCGCAGGCUGGAAUAUAGUCCCAGAUAUGUGGUUGAAACGGAAACACUUGUCAGCAUGCACAGCAUAUUGGAUUUAAACUAUACAUUCGUAAGGAGGUCGGUGGAGGCCACUAUUGAGAUCAGGAUCCUUGAGGGACCUGAUGAAUUCCAUGGGAAGAUUGUUGCUUCCACUACCAGUAUUCCAUGCGACAUUGUGCUACAUGAUAGCAAAGUGAGUGGUGCCCUAACUGCAGGUGACAAUGGAGUCAUACAAACGGCGCGGCACGUAGUAGGAGUCUCUGUGGAUGAGAUUCUGGUGUUGACUGUUGCUGCUGCUGUCGGUGAUGAUGAGUUAUCUGUCGUCACUAUUGAGUUUACUCCAAGUCGCAAUGGUUACGAUGAUGGGAGUAUCACCUGCGGGGACUACAAGAUGCUUCUGAAGGUCACUUGGGCGAUUAUGUAA